AGCUACUGGGAUAAGGCUUAAGGCAUUGGCUUGCUAAAUCAACAUACGUAUCAUGGGUUGAAUCAUCCCAUAGGAGCUA
rnacentral:tRNA from 8 species